rnacentral:rRNA from 1 species
CACGUAGGGCGCGAGCGUUGUCCGGAAUUAUUGGGCGUAAAGAGCUCGUAGGCGGCCUGUUGCGUCCGCUGUGAAAGCCCGGGGCUUAACCCCGGGUCGGCAGUGGAUACGGGCAGGCUAGAGGUAGGUAGGGGAGAAUGGAAUUCCCGGUGUAGCGGUGAAAUGCGCAGAUAUCGGGAGGAACACCGGUGGCGAAGGCGGUUCCCUGGGCCUUACCUGACGCUGAGGAGCGAAAGCGUGGGGAGCAAACAGG